rnacentral:rRNA from 1 species
UACGUAGGGGGCAAGCGUUGUCCGGAUUUAUUGGGCGUAAAGAGCGUGUAGGCGGCCCGAUAAGUCCGCCGUGAAAGUCCAGGGCUCAACCCUGGAAUGCCGGUGGAAACUGUCGGGCUGGAGUCCGGAAGAGGCGAGUGGAAUUCCUGGUGUAGCGGUGAAAUGCGCAGAUAUCAGGAGGAACACCAAUGGCGAAGGCAGCUCGCUGGGACGGUACUGACGCUGAGACGCGAAAGCGUGGGGAGCAAACAGG